GCCAGACUCCUACGGGAGGCAGCAGUGGGGAAUAUUGGGCAAUGGGCGCAAGCCUGACCCAGCAACGCCGCGUGAAGGAAGAAGGCUUUCGGGUUGUAAACUUCUUUUAAGAGGGAAGAGCAGAAGACGGUACCUCUUGAAUAAGCCACGGCUAACUACGUGCCAGCAGCCGCGGUAAUACGUAGGUGGCAAGCGUUGUCCGGAUUUACUGGGUGUAAAGGGCGUGUAGCCGGGCUGACAAGUCAGAUGUGAGAUCCGGGGGCUCAACCCCUGAACUGCAUUUGAAACUGUUGGUCUUGAGUAUCGGAGAGGCAGGCGGAAUUCCUAGUGUAGCGGUGAAAUGCGUAGAUAUUAGGAGGAACACCAGUGGCGAAGGCGGCCUGCUGGACGACAACUGACGGUGAGGCGCGAAAGCGUGGGGAGCAAACAGGAUUAGAUACCCCAGUAGUG
rnacentral:rRNA from 1 species